rnacentral:rRNA from 1 species
GCAAGUCGAGCGCCCUACUUCGGUAGGGUGCGGCGGACGGGUGAGUAACGCGUGGGAACGUGCCCUUUAGUUCAGAAUAGCCACUGGAAACGGUGAGUAAUACUGAAUACGCCCUUCGGGGGAAAGAUUUAUCGCAAAAAGAUCGGCCCGCGUUGGAUUAGCUAGUCGGCAGGGUAAAGGCCUACCAAGGCAACGAUCUAUAGCUGGUCUGAGAGGAUGAUC